AUAUCAAAUAUAUUAUUUGUUGCUAUUUUUACUAUAAAUAUUACUAAUUAGUUCAUAUCCAAGAAUAUCAUUAUUCUCAUCCUUGUAGGAAUAACCAUUACUUCUAUUUAAGAGUGUAAUCACCAUUCCUUCAAUUGAAAGAAUGGUGAUUUCAAAUGAAAUAUGAUUCCUAAGUAUAUUGACAUACCAAACACUAGAAUUGGACCAA
rnacentral:lncRNA from 1 species